ACGCUCGACACCUACGGAAGGCAGCAGUGAGGAAUAUUGGUCAAUGGGCGCUAGCCUGAACCAGCCAAGUAGCGUGAAGGAUGAAGGCUCUAUGGGUCGUAAACUUCUUUUAUAUAAGAAUAAAGUGCAGUAUGUAUACUGUUUUGUAUGUAUUAUAUGAAUAAGGAUCGGCUAACUCCGUGCCCGCAGCCGCGGUAAUCUGAGCGGGCGUGGCAAGGC
rnacentral:rRNA from 1 species